CGCCAUCAGAUGGCGCCUUGGAAUAUGUGGGCGCAGAAGAGAAGAAAGAGUCCUUCUCUGUGAAGGAACUCACAUGUCAAAAAUAAAUGGGACACCAUAUAUUUUGUGCAAUGAGAUUGGAAGAGUCCAUCUCUUAAUUACCUUCCUAUCUCUUCAUUUUUUCACGCUAAUUCAUAAAGAGUGGCGGCAUCAGAUGGCGCCUUGGGAGGUAUGCACAGAGGAGAGUCCUACUGAUUAAAUACCCAACCAACUCUCUUUAGUAGGAACUAUAUCACCGG
rnacentral:lncRNA from 1 species